rnacentral:rRNA from 1 species
UACGAGGGGGGCGAGCGUUGUUCGGAAUUACUGGGCGUAAAGGGCGCGUAGGCGGCGACUCAAGUUAGAUGUGAAAGUCCUGGGCUUAACCUGGGGACUGCAUUUGAUACUGGGUUGCUUGAAUUCGGGAGAGGAUAGCGGAAUUCCCAGUGUAGAGGUGAAAUUCGUAGAUAUUGGGAAGAACACCGGUGGCGAAGGCGGCUAUCUGGACCGACAUUGACGCUGAGGCGCGAAAGCGUGGGGAGCAAACAGG